rnacentral:rRNA from 1 species
UACGUAGGGUCCGAGCGUUGUCCGGAAUUACUGGGCGUAAAGAGCUCGUAGGUGGUUUGUCGCGUUGUUCGUGAAAACUCACAGCUCAACUGUGGGCGUGCGGGCGAUACGGGCAGACUGGAGUACUGCAGGGGAGACUGGAAUUCCUGGUGUAGCGGUGGAAUGCGUAGAUAUCAGGAGGAACACCGGUGGCGAAGGCGGAUCUCUGGACCAGUUCUGACACUGAUGAGCGAAAGCCAGGGGAGCAAACAGG